GUGUAUUUUGAUCUCUCUCUCUCUCUCUCUCUCUCUCUCUCUCUAUAUAUAUAUAUAUAUAUAUAGAGAGAGAGAGAGAGAGAGAUAUCAAAAUACAC